UACGGAAGGCAGCAGUGGGGAAUAUUGCACAAUGGGCGAAAGCCUGAUGCAGCUAUGCCGCGUGUAUGAAGAAGGCCUUAGGGUUGUAAAGUACUUUCAUCGGGGAGGAAAAACAAAACUAAUAAUUUUAUUUCUUGACGUUACCCGAAAAAGAAGCACCGGCUAACUCCGUGCCAGCAGCCGCGGUAAUACGGAGGGUGCUAGCGUUAAUCAGAAUUACUGGGCGUAAAGAGCACGUAGGUGGUUUUUUUAAGUCAGAUGUGAAAUCCCUGGACUUAACCUAGGAACUGCAUUUUGAAACUGAAAUACUAGAGUAUCGUAGAGGGAGGUAGAAUUCUAGGUGUAGCGGUGAAAUGCGUAGAUAUCUGGAGGAAUACCUGUGGCGAAAGCGGCCUCCUAAACGAAUACUGACACUGAGGUGCGAAAGCGUGGGGAGCAAACGAGGGAUUAGAUACC
rnacentral:rRNA from 1 species